rfam:Erinaceus europaeus unplaced genomic scaffold scaffold01646, whole genome shotgun sequence
GGGAAACUAGAGCUGGGCUUGGGGCGAGAGCCACCCCAAGUCCAGGGCCAAGAAGGCUCC